rnacentral:lncRNA from 1 species
UUGACCCAAAAAAACAAAAUAAAACAAAUGCUAGAGUCCAAACCUUAUAGCAAGCAAUUAAAAGAGGCCCGAAACUGAAGUAUCGGCCCUAAAAAUUCAAAAACAAAGUAAUAAUAAUCAGAAGACUCUAGAUCCUAAUUAAUGACACCGCAAUUUUGCCCAAUCAGAAAAAUGAUUCGUUCCCGUCUUAUCAAAUCAUCUGCCAUUUCUUCUGUGGGACGUUUUCAAAUUCCAAUAGAGGCCUUUUCACCGAACCUUUUGAGUUCCACAUUUCAGCCUCUCUAUUCUUUCUCCUCCAUUUCACCUUCAAUCUAGUUCUCUCGUCUUUUCUUUUUCCUUCAAAUUCUCAGCAUACUCAAGGACUCUUCCUAGCAGGUAAAUCUCGUCCUUCUUCUUUAAUGUCUCCGUUGCUAAUGUAUGUGCCAGGCUAUUCGCUGUUCUUGGAUGUGCUCAAAACAAUAUUUUUUAGAUUUAGCCAGUAGCUGAUGAAUAUCUUGGAUAUAACUUUUUAUCUUGCACUUCUUUAUAAUUGAUAAUGCAUCCCCUUCAAUGAUGAUAUUUGACCAUUGCCUGUAUAUACCAAUUUGAGUUGCUGUCCGGCAAGCAAUUGCUUCGGCAGCAAAAGCUAAUGCGACUUGGUGAUAGAUCUCUAUGAAUGAUAAGAGAACGUUUCCUUCACUAUCCCUAGCCACAAUCCCCAUAGCCGAUUGACACAGAUUCCCAUCAUAUGCUGCGUCAAAGUUAAUCUUCACAAACUGACCAGGUGGGUGUUUCCACUUUCUAACUCCUGUUAAAAUCUUUGGUACUUUUUCUUCAAUCCUAUUAAGUUCAGAAAUGUAUCUCUUAAUAAAACUUGCAAUCUCUUUCCCAUAUUUGUUGGCCUUCUCAUGAACUCUCUUGUUCCUUUCUCCCCUGAUUGCCCAAAGAGCACAACAAAAGAUCCUGCACCGAGAGGGGGUAUUCUGUUCAAAAACCCAGGUGAGCCACUGUAUAAAUUCCAUAUGAGAUACUUGUAAUAACUCCGAGAAUGAUAACUCUUUCCAUACUAAUAUUACAUCAGGACACUCACAGAAUAGAUGAUUCGUGGUUUCUACUGCUCUCCCACACCUAGAACAGAUUACGUUGUUUAAUAGCCUUUUGUGCUGCAAGUUAACCCAUGUUGGUAGAUAAUUCCAUGAUAUUCUCCAAACUGUAAUUUUUAACUUAGAAGGUUAGAUUAAGAAGCCAAAGAUUUCUGUAAAAUUUCCUAUACUCGUUUUGUAAAGCAUAAGCUCUAGGAUCAAUUUCAAUGCCUUGUAAUAGUUUAUAGGCACUUCGCACCGUGAAUUCUCCCGAAGACUCCCCCCUCCAGGUCAGAAAAUCAUUGUGAGGCUCUUUUGCUAACGAAUGCGGAGAAUCUUCUCAACUACCUCCACUGGAAAGUUAGAAUCUACCAACUCUUUUUUCCAUUUUUUGUUGAUAUCAUAAAUUAAUUCUGCAACUUUAAAGUCACGCAAAUUAUUAAUAUGAGAUGAUAAUCUGGAAUAAUUCAAAUCUAGUAUCCAACCAUCAUUAAUAAUUGAUAUUUCAGUACCCUUCCCCACUUUCCAGCAUAGUCCAUCUGUUAGAAUGCCUUUAGUUGCCCAUAUACUCUUCCAUGUGAAAGAACUAUUACUCCUUAGGCGCGAAUUUAAAAAAUUCGUUUCUGGAAAAUAUUUAGCUUUUAAUACUUGUGCAACUAACAAAUUAGGAUUAUUUAGGAUUCUUCAACCUUGUUUAGCUAAUAAGGAGACGUUAAAACUAGACAUAAUCCUAAAGCCCAUUCCUCCAUCUUCUUUGGAUCAACACAUACACUGCCAUUUACACCCAUGAAUUCCUCUUUUCCCCUGUGCCUUUUUCCACCAGAAAUUAGCGAAGAUCCUUUCCAGUUCUCCACAUAGGGAAUUAGGAAGAAGGAAAGAGGACAUGGCGUAGGUUGGAAUAGCCUGAAGUAUUGAUUUAAUGACUAUUUCCUUGCCUCCUUGUGAUAAUAAUUUGGUACUCCAACCUUUAAUUCUGGAAUUGACCUUAUCUUUUAGAUUUUGAAACGACUCCUUUUUACGUCUACCAACCACAUUAGGAAGACCUAAGUACUUUUCCAUAUAUGUUGACCCUUUUACCCCUAAGCUUGUUAAUACUUCACCUCUUUUUUCUAUUGAUGUAUUCGAAUUGAAAAAAUUGUAGAUUUAUCAAAAUUAACACACUGGCCAGAACAUUCUUCAUAUUCUUUUAGAAUUCUUUUUAGCAACCUUGCUCCCUUAUUUGUUGCUUCACCGUACAGUAUGCAAUCAUCUGCAAAAAGUAAAUGUGAAAUCCCUGGUCCUUUUCUACUUGCCUUUGUUCCUUUUAUCAGACCCUCUUUUAUUGCCAAUCUCAUUAAUGCUGAAAGUCCCUCACUACAUAAUAGAAAUAAAAAGGGGCUAAGGGGUCCCCUGACACAACCCUCUAGAAGAUUGAAAAAUCUGUCCCCUUCUUCCAUUAGUAUUGACUGCGUAAGUUGCUGUAGUAAUGCAUUUCAUAAUUAAAUCAACCUAUUCUUUUGCAAAACCCAUUCGCAACAUAACUUCCUUAAGAAAGUCCCACUCGACCCUAUCAUAGGCUCUGCUCAUGUCAAGUUUAAUUGCCAUAUAUCCUUUCUUUCCUAUGCAUUUUCGUUGAAACAUGUGUAGGAUCUCGUAAGCAGUAAAAUGUUAUCAGAAAUUAGCCUACCUGGGAUAAAAGCACUUUGCGUCACAUCAAUACAUCUUCCUAUAACCUCUUAAAGUCUAUUGGCAAUUGUCUUAGCCAUAAUUUUGUAGAGAACCGUACACAAACUUAUAGGUCUGAAUUUUGUUAAGUUUGUAGGGUUCUGGGUUUUUGGAAUCAGUACAAUAUUAGUUGAAUUGAGAGGGCCAAAAUUUUUACUGUUAUUUAAAAUUCUUAGAAAGUAAUGACUUCCUUACCUACUAUAUGCCAAUAUCGUUGAAAAAAUAGUGCUGGAAAUCCAUCAGGUCUUAGUACUUUAGUUGGCUUCAUUACUUUCAAAGCUGAAUACACUUCUUUCGUAAAAUUUGACACUAAAACUUCAUUCAUAUUUGGCGAAAUUUUUUCCUCAAUGUCCGUUAAGAGAUGAGAUAGCUCUCCCACUCCUUUUGACAUAAAUAACUCCUAAAAGAAUAAAGUAGCAGCUUCACUGAUCUUAUUUAGUUCAGUAGCCUCUCCUCUUCCGUCUAACUGUAGCCUCAAUAUAGUGUUUUUUCUACGAAAUGAGGCGUACUUAUGGAAAAAAGUUGUAUUCUUGUCCCUUACUUUAAGUCAAUUCGCCCUUGUCCUCUGCUCCUAUAACAGCUCAAUUUUGGGCCUAGUCGAAACAGUAGUUUCGGGACCACAAAUUUGAUGAGGAAAAAAAUUUAUUUUUAUUAUAUUUUAUGGUCUAAGAUUUCAUGGAAUGAUUUUUUUAAAUUUUUUUUUGAAAAUUUCGACGUUUCGGCACUCAAUUUAGUAAAAAAGAUUAAAUUGUAAAAAAAGUAAAAGUUGAGUUCUACAUGAUAAAAGUGUCCAAUUGUUAUGAAAUUUUAAAUUAGAAGUCCUUAAAUAGAAAUUAGACCAUUUUUAAAUUUUUUGGAAAAAAUGGACAUGAGAUAAGUGAAAUAGGAUAUUUUUAAGUUGGGGACAUUUUGGUCAUUUAGUAAUUAAAAGAAUUAAAAAGACCAAAAUAACCAAAUAUUUUUCCAUCUUCAAGCCUUGGCCGAAUUUCAAAAGGGGGAGCCAUAGUUAGGGUUUUCAAGCUUCCAAGUUCCAUAAUAAGUGAUUUCAAGCCCCGUUUUUAAUGUUCUUUACGUUUUUAGAGUCCCGGUAACUUGAUUUAGCUUAUUCUAGUUAUAAUUUAACCUAUGGUUUAUAUUUGAAAAAAUAACUUUUGUUAAGCAAUUUUAACUGAAAACAAGUAAAACGACAUAAUCGGUAAAAAUACCUAAUAUUUAUAAGUAAGUGUUAGAGUGGGAAUUCGAUGUUGCCAUAGAAGGAAAAAAUGUUCAGUAUGUCAUAAUACAUAAGAAUAAGGGAUGAAGUUUAAUUUACGAGUUUUGGGGUAAAAGUGUAAAUAUGUAAAAUUUAGGAGAAAAUUGUAAUUUUUCCAAAGUUUGGGUCAAGGAAUAUUUUGAUAAAUGUGAGUAUUAAAUAAGUUAAAUGUGUUAUUAUAGGUCAAGAAAGAAGUGGAAUCGACCUUAAUCGGAGAAAAGAAAAGAUUAAAGACUAAAUUGCUAAAUUUUUAUAUUGUUGCACCAAAGCAAGUUCCCUGUAAAUAAUAACAAUAUAUUUUUAUAAAUUGUGAAUUAUAUUUGAUAUGUGAAUUAAUAUUGAAUGCGAAAGUAAAAUUGUUAAUGAAUCAUUCAAGUGAUAAAGUGUUUAAAAUAAAGUGUUAAGUGUAAAUUCUCGGUUAAACUUAGGAAUAGAAGUGGAUACAAGUGACAUAUCACUAGAGACCAGUGUUACAGUGUUACAGUGUUACAAUGAGUCAUAAGUGCUGGGUGAUCUAGCAUGUGUUGCAGAUACUUAACAGCUUGUGUGAGCAGGCCCGUGGACAUUUCUAGUGUUAUUGAUCAGUGGUAGCUUCGGCUACAUUUUAAUGGUAGCUAUGACUACAUAUCAAUGGUAGCUUCGGCUACAUUUCAGUGGUAGCUAUGACUACGUAUCAGUGGUAGCUUCAGCUACAUAUCAGUGUGGCACUUAUGUGCUAAUUAUCUACGUAUUCGUGUAUAUUCCGAGUGUUCAACGAGAAGUUGACUAAGUGAAAAUACAUGAGAUCAUGUAACGAUUAAGCGUAAUUGAAUGAUGAAUAUAUGUGUGAAAUUGAAUUGAAUAGUGAUCGAAAGUGAAAAAGUGAAAUUGUGAAAUAGUAGAAUUAGCAACAAAAUAGUUUUGGACAAAAACAGUUGUGUAACUUUGCCAUAAAUGGUCGAAAUCGAAUUAAGUGGAUAAGAUAUGAAAUGAAAGCUUAAUGAGUCUAUUUUUACAUAAAAAAAUAGAGCAAGCAAAAGAAUUAUAAAUUUUUAUACAUUUUAAGUUUAGUGAGACAGGGUCAAAAUGAGUUUGGAAUCCCCUAUUCUGACUUUGGAAAAUUGUUAAAAAUUUUAUAAAAAUAAUUACGGGCUAAAUUUUAUAUGUUUAAAACCUUGAAUGAGUCUAUUUUCAAUUUAAAUAAACAUAAGUACCAUCCGAACUCUGUACAGUGAGAUAAUUAAUUUUUAGUGAAGAGGUCAGAACUGUCGAGUAAUGAAAUAGGGGAAAAUUUAAAGAAUAAACUGUACUUAUUGGUUAAGCCAAAAAUUCUAAAAAUUUUAUGGUAAAAAGAUAUGUGAAUUCAGUUUCAGGUAAAAUUAACGGAUCUUAAUUUGGAGCUCUGUAGCUCCGAAUAAAAAUAAUUUAGUGACUCUGACUGGGAUAGACAACUUUGAAUAUAUAGUAAAAAUAUAGAAAAUGUUAUUUAUAAGAGUGUUAUGUACAUUAAGGAUGUGGAAUGAAGAGGAGGAGGAAAAAUAAAAUAUAUGAAUAAUUUGUAUAUAAAUUAGUCAUAUGCCGAUUAUAUUUGAUAAAUGUUGAAUUAGAAAUGACAAUGUUUCAUUUCAAUUAGUUAUUAUGAAUUGAAUUGUAAAUUUAUAUGGAUGAAACCAAACAAUUAUUUGUUAGUAUUAUGCAUGACAUAAUGUAUUAUUCUAUAUAUAUAUUCAUGGUUGAAUUAUGAUUGUUGAGAAAGAUAGAUAAAUUGGAAAGAAAAUUAAAAUUGAGUAGAACGCAGUGUUGAGUACUUUCGUUCAGUGAUAAAGACAAAUUGACGAAAAACACCAUGGAUGGACCAUGGCAAUAAGUGAUAUGUAAUUCUGUGUAAGACCAUAGUUGAGCUAUGUCAUCGGUAGAUGUUAUGUGAUUACGUGUAAGACCAUAAUUGGACUAUGGCAUCGAGAAAAUAAAGUACUCAAUUCCGUAAGACAUUCACUAAUUUGACAAAGUUGGUAAGUGUUACAUAGACUCACACUCAAGUGAUAGAUUUAUUGUGAUCGUUAAAGUUGAAUUCAAUUAAGUGAUUUCACCAAUUGGAUAUUGUAUAUGGCAAGAUGUGUUAGUGAAUUACAUAUUUAUGAAAUGAUAUUUGAAGUUCAAUAAGUGAUAUAUGAAAUUAAUAUAAAAAGAUUUAUGAUUGUUAUUAGUAUUGUUUCUGACUUAAUGUGAAUUCUUUGAUGUUGAAAUGAUUUAACGAAUUUAUUGAGCAUAUGAAUGAGUAUGAGACUCAUACGAGUUAGUAUAGAUAUGUACAUGUGUCUUAUAAGCUUUGAAAUGAUAAGACUUGUAAAUUGUGAAUUAAUCUGUGUGAAAGUAUAUGGGAUAGAUUAGCGAAUCUUUAUAAGAUAUUGAAUAUUUAAUAUAUUACAAUGGUUUAGUAGGAAAAAUAUGACGAUACGAGAAUAUGAAAUGAUACGGAUAAAUUCAGGUACUCGCGAGAAGUAAGUAAUAAUUGAUAAAUUCAUAUGAUGAGAAAGUAAAGGAUUAUAAGUUAAUAUAUGGCUAUGAAAUGAACAAAUGGUGAUAGCUAUAAGGCUUGAAUCGAAUGAGUAUAUAUAUUGGGCCUUGUAAGCCUUAAUUAGCGAUUCGAAGAUAAUAAUUUGAAAGUUUUAAUCUGUAUGAAAUUUUAUAACUCAGUUUAAUAAGUUUAUAAAUGUAUGUGUUUUGGUAAUGCCUCGUACCCUAUUUCGGCGUCAAAUACGGGUAAGGGGUGUUACAAUGUGACAUCGCUAGAUUCAGCCAUAACGUUUAGGCCAAGUUUGGGGUGUUACAAUUCCUAAUAAAUUUCAUCUCUAUCAAUUUUCAUAUUCAGGUGAACCUUAGUAUCAAUAAUCUUUGCCAUUGUAUCAUCAUUUCUUUCUUCCUCCAGCAACAUCUUAAGUUUCUUAGUAAGCUUUUUCUUUAACCCUUCUCGCUCUUUUUUAAUUGAUCUUGCCCAUUUCUUUAGAUUUGAUUGUAGCUUUUCCAGUUUCUCCAAUAUAGUACCUGUAGAUGAUUCUAAAGAUGCUUUAAUUUCUCCCUCAAGAGACUCUUUCAUGGUCCACCACACCUCAAAUUUAAACCAUGGACUCCCCACAUAAGUGUUUCCACUUUUUGUAUUAAGAAGAAUUGGACAAUGAUCAUGCAUCUAAUGAGUUAAGUGAUGAAAUUUUCCCGUUGGAAAAAGAUUCCUCCAUUUAUCAUUAGCCCUAUCCAGUCUUUCUCUGAUAUUUGUUUUUGGCAAAUCUCCCAUUUCCUAUGUAAACCAAAACCAUGUAUAUCUUAAAUCUUCUAAUUGACAUUCUUCUAGGGUCUCUCGAAAUGCCUCUAUUCGUCUUUCAUCUCUUGGUAACCCUCCACUUUUCUCAAAAGAAUACAUAAUUUCAUUAAAAUCCCCACUUACAAACCAUGGGUACCUCUUAUCUUGUCCUAAUUUUCGUAGUAGAUUCCAAGAAGCAUUCUUAUUACUAACAUAAGGAGAGCCAUAAAAUCCUAUAAGUCUCCACUCUCUAUUACCAUUCUCCUCCAUAACCAUUGCAUCAAUGUGAUUCCUGGAGAAACUUCUUAAAGUAACUGUGAUCUUUCCUUUUCAUGCUAAACAUAAACCACCUCGGGAACCUUCUACGUCAACAUCAAUCCCAUUCUGAAAACCACUUCUUUUGACCUUUUCCAUACAUUGGUUAUUUAUUUUUGUCUCCAUUAAAAAGACCAUCUGGGGAUUAUGCUACUUUAAAAAGUAUCGCAGCCUUCUAGCUAUCCGUGGACUCCCCAAUCCACGAACGUUCCAACUAAUGCUUUUUAUUGCGUUUGAUCGGCUUGUCUCUUGGCAGCAGUCGAUCCUAUAAAUAGUUGAACAUCACUCUGCUCCAUAGCAUUAAUCAUUGUUUCUGAUAACAUUUCUCCACAUACCUUUUCUCCAUCUUUUUUCAGCCUUUUAGUUCUGUCUUCAUACGCAGCUUCUACACUACAAAUCUCAAAUUCGUCUUCACAAGCUUUCCUCUUCCUAGUACAACUUUCAUCCUUUAGCUGAGUCAUCAUUUGUACUGGAGCAAUUCUUUUCCAACUUUCCUUUUUAGCUGAGUCAUCAUAGAUACUUCCUCAUGUUUCUUCAUCAUCUUCUCUUCACCACUCGAUUGUAGUCUCUCGAGCAUCAUCCCCUUCAAACUAUUCACUUCUCCAGUUAUUUUAACUUUGAUCGCCUCCACCUCAAAACCACCUAUAUAAGAGCAUUGAGCCUUAACCUUUUUUGAAAAAUCAUUAAAUUUAAUACUUUCCUUCCCGAUUAAGUUUGAUUCUGCUUUUAGUGCUAGUACGUAUGGUGGAUCCUCUCUGAUUUUAAUUUUUUCUACAGGAUUCAACUCACUAAAAUCUAAAAGGCCAUGCCCCACCCUUCCACAUCCAAAGCAAAACAUUGGUAAUUUCUCAUACUUAAAAGAAAUCCACCAUUUAUUCAUAUUAUCCAUUGAGACAAAAAUACCUCGUCGAAGGGGUUUCUACAUAUUAAGGUUUAUUUUAAGGCGACACCAUUCUCCACUAAUUUCAAAUCUAAGCACCCCUCCAAAAGUGACACCUAUGGCGUGUAAUAGAUCUUUUUCUUAUCAAAUUCUGGUAAACAUGGACCUAUCUUUAACCAAAAUGUUGAUGAGUUAAGUCGAAUUUGAGAUCUUUCAACCAAUUGAAUUAACCUAUUAAAUAAAAUAAGAAUUUUUCGGAACAGCCAUGGUCUUCCCUUCAUAAUUAGCUCCAAAUCUUCUUCUAACUCAAACACGAUCAAAAAUAAAUUUUGCCCUGCCGUCUGAAUCUCAAACUUCUUUUUUGUUUUCCUUAUGCUCUUCAUCUGUGCCGUAAAACUCUCCAGGUUGUAAAGCUUCUAUGUCCAAAUUGUACAAAUCAAAGUUGGUUUCACACUCGGAACCACCUUCGACCCUUUGAUAGAUAGUUGAAUAAGUUCUUCUGUUAGGAGGGAAAUCUCAUCCCUCUUCUCUCUACCGUCACCACCACUUUCCCCCAUCCCAAGCCGCAGCAGUUACUGCCUUCUCUAGGACUCUCGGUAAAGUACUCUUGGUUUUUUUUAGAAAAGGAAGAAAAGUAUCAAUAUUUUAAUUAUAUAAAUAUAAGUGCAUGUUUAAAUUAUGUGUAGCUUCAUUUAUUCCUUCAAAUAUUAAUGUGUCACAAUCCACUCUUAUAUAUCUAAUAUAUGUAAUUUAAAUUAAGUUUUAAUUAGGUUCUAUUUAUUAUUAAGUUUAUAUAUGAUAUUAAUUAUUAUAAAACAAAUUUUCAUUGUCAAAAGGAGAUGCUAUUAUAAUAUUUUCUAACAAAUAUAUUUAAGUGGUGCUUGUUUUAAACCUAUCCAUGAGUUGGGUGGUUGGCCUAGUUUAACUUGAGCGGGUUUGGGCAUAGAUUUUAUCCCCUCAAGCCGGGUUGGUCCACCCCAAUUUAAAAUUAAAUGUUUUUAUUUUAAAUUUUUUAUAAUAUAUAAAUAUUAAUUUAACAUAAUAUAUUUUUAUUAUUUUAUUAUUUUUUUAAAUAGCGAUAUGGGCAAGUUGAGUCAGUCAGGGCUCGAGUCCGAGUAUGAAUUUUUUUAAAAAAAAUUUUGAGCCAUGGCUCAGCCCGACCCAUGAAUAUGUCUAAACUUGUUUCACUAAGAACUAGUUUUACAUAAUGAUUUUAGGAAAAUAUGGUAAACAAUUAAAAAUAUUUUACCCAAAAUAUUUUAAACACCAAAAAAUAUCAAAUUUUUCAGAAAAUUAAUCCAUCUUUCAAAAGUUAUUUUCGGAAAGCUGUUUUUAAUUUUUUUUAAAUAGAAAUAUUUAUUAAAUACAAAUGUAAAACAUAAAUAUAUUUGGAGUAAGUAUUGGGAGAGCAUAAUUUUCCACUAUCAUCAUACACAUCCUUGUUUUCUUUUCUUCUGCCGCACAGCAGGUUGACAGUCCACCACCACUUCUUAUAAUAAUCAGAAAUUUUGAUUGUUUUUCCUAUUCAACUUAUAUAACUGAAUAUCAAAUCCUGAUUCUAACUUAGUAGCUCUAUCUCGUAUUCGCAAUCAUAGUGGAUAGAGAUAUUGUUAUUAGAGUAGGGAGGAAAACGGCAUGAGCAGAACAAGAUAUGGACAUGAUAAACUACAUUGAACUUGGAAAUUAAUACAAUACAUGACAGCAUUUUGAAGUUCUAACAAUAUUAACUUCAUGCUAAGAUAAGGGAGAAGAGUGGAAGAAGAGGCAGAUGGCUGAAAUAUCAUCCAUUGCAAUGUCCUUCCUCUUCUUUUUCCAAGCCCGGACUGCAUACUCCACUAGCUGCUUAGCUGCUUUCUGCUUGUCCGGUGUCGAAGAUACUAUUUGAACUGCUUCCUGAUUGGAUACAACAUCCCAUACCUGCAGAACAAAGCUUUAGUCACAGAUCAACAGCAUUGCCAUUUUAUCAACUUUGAUCAAACCCUUAGUUAUAUAUGCAUACCCCGUCGGUAGCCAGCACCACGAAUUGGUCUCUGCAGGUUAUAUGUCUUUGUGUGACUUCUGGAACCGAAAUAAGACCGUAAUCUUUUAUGCAGUAGUCCCCGAAAGCUCUCGACAUCGCCAGCCCUGGUGACUCCUCAUCAGGUAGCCAAACCCUGUGCACCCCUGGCUCAUCAUGCAGGCAGAAAACUCGACCUUUGCACUGAACUAUUCGCUCGGCCUCCUCUGCAAGCAACAUCAACCGAAAACAUAAGGAUUCUUAAUGGCUUCUCUUUCCAACAGUUUUAGAGAGUGUGGCGAGAACUCACAAGGUAAAUUCGGCUUGAAAUCGACGGUAAGCUGAACAGGAACCAAGUUUCCAUCAUCUGAUGUUGUAGCCAGAACAGCCCGAGAAUCACCAAUGUUGGCUACAUAUAUGAGGUCACCCUGUCCAAUAUAAAUGUCAAAUUAUUCUCAAAUAUCAUGAUAGUUGAAGCAAAUACCCAGAGUAUGCCAUAAUAAGAGCUUAGUUUACCUGUCUGACAAUUGUUAAGGCAGUUGUUCCACUGUAAAAGGAAUCGAUCUUCCUAUGCUGCUCCAGCUCGUGAUCAACUGCUGCACAAGUCCUCAGAUAAGAAUGCUUCCAUAUAUGAAACCUCUGAUGCUUUUUAUCAGACUCUAAAUCGAUCUCCGGGUCGAGGGAUGCCUGAGCUAGAGUUUCUUGCCAAUUGCAAAGCAGCGAUGAAGGCAUUGAUUCUCGAACCUUUUUGGCUACAAAAUGACCCCAUGGACCAUGCCCAUCAAAUAUGCCGCAAAACAACAUGUCUGCUUGACAUCCAAAUUCCUAUUCCGAGUAAACAAAAGCCACAUUUAUGAAUCAUAAAAGGGAGUCAAUUUACAAGGUAUACAAAGUAAACACUCAAUGUUUUAUACCUCCCAUACAAUGGCACAAUCCUGGUUCACUCCUUUCCUGCCUCUCUUGGAGAAAACUGAGGCCAAAUUGUUGGAACCAUCGACAUUUACAGAACCAGAAGACCUCAAAAUCAGGUCAUUUUUCUUUGCAUCCUUUGCCAUUGCCUCAGCAGCUUCUUUUCCAUCACCAUUCCCUGAAUUUUUCCCUCUUAUUGACCUUGCUAACCCAUUGAACAUGGAAGAAAAUUGCCUCAUUGUCUCUACCAUUCAAUACCCACUACCAAAAACAGAAAAAAAGAGCCUGCUUUCCUUAUUGUAGAUCCAAAGUCUGCCCACAGAAAACAAAUAAAUAGUGACAUAAAGUUACAGACAAGUAAAAGAAGCCUUGGGAAUACUUUCUUUUUCUAGUUUUUGUUUGCUUUAAACCCUUGCUCCAGACAUAGUAGGUAGAAGGUUAAAAGAACAUUGAACUUGAGUAAUACAGUUAGCCAAGAAAAGACAUAAUCCGACUCAGAAAGGUAGGAAUCUAACAAUUUAAUAACAGUAAAAAAAUUAGAACCUGUUGUUAAUGUGAAACACUUUACAGAGAAUAUUCAUCAUGACAUGGAACUCUAAUAGAAAUUUGAAAGAGGCUAAACAAGUGCCGGCUAGUAAAUAGAUAAACUCAAUACUUGAGGCUUAGCUGGCUAUACCCCAUCAAAAGGUCUGUUUGGUUGCUGAGAGAGGAUAAUGGGAACAAAAGGGCAAACCAGAAAUUGCAAAGUUGUAGUAUGUUCAAGGACAGGUGAGUGGCCACUUGAAAAGUAAAAAAAAAAAGGGAAAUCUAGAGUUCACUAGAACAUCAAGUUAGUUGAAAUUUCCCUUUAUGGUAAAGGCAAAAACUAAAAGGAAGAGCUUUCUGUUUUUCCUUAGAUAAUAUGAUAUAUUUUCGAUUUUCCAGAAAAUCAAAGAAAAAUAAAAUUUAACGUGCAAAGUUACUGGAGUAACACGACUUUAAAAUUUGCACAUUAAAUCGUAGUACUAGUUUUUCUCUGAUGAUACCUAUAAAUUAAUGUCGAGUACUAAGAUUUGAUAAUAGUUUCCUUCUCUCUCUCUCUCUCACAAAUCCAGAAACCAGGCUUUUCUUUCACUUUCUCAGCAAUCAAACAAGCCAGUCCAACCAGACAGAAAAAAUGCAGCAAGAUCAAACCCAGAAAAAUGGAAAAGAGAAGCUGUAAUUAGACUGGGAAGCUAAUGCAAGCAACCAGAAUGUGAUAACUUGAUCUUUACGAGAAAAGCUAAGAAACUGAGAGGUAGAAGAUGGAGAAGGAUGAGAAAAGAUGGGCAUACUUA